AAACUUCAGCUAACUACCCUUACUCAUCUCCACCACCACCGGCUUCUCCUCCCUACCACUACAAGUCACCACCACCUCCUUCUCCUUCUCCUCCAGUGUACUCACCACCUAAGCAUCCCUACCACCCCAAGUCACCACCACCAUCACCAAAGCCUUACCACUACAAGUCCCCACCACCACCUCCUCCUCCAGUGCACUCACCACCCCCACCAAAGGAGCCUUACCACUACAAGUCUCCACCACCACCACCCAAGAAACCUCACCAUCACAAGUCUCCUCCACCACCACCCAGGAAGCCCUACCACCCGGUGCACUCACCCCCACCACCAAAGAAGCCUUACCAUUACAAGUCUCCUCCACCACCACCCAAGAAGCCCUACCACCCGGUGCACUCACCCCCACCACCAAAGAAGCCUUACCAUUACAAGUCUCCUCCACCACCACCCAAGAAGCCCUACCACCCGGUGCACUCCCCACCACCACCAAAGAAGCCUUACCAUUACAAGUCUCCUCCACCACCACCCAAGAAGCCCUACCACCCGGUGCACUCACCCCCACCACCAAAGAAGCCUUACCAUUACCAAUCCCCAC
rnacentral:lncRNA from 1 species